UAAGCCUGUGAAGGUGUGUCGUGAGGCAUGCUGGAGGUAUCAGAAGUGCGAAUGCUGACAUAAGUAACGAUAAAGCGGGUGAAAAGCCCGCUCGCCGGAAGACCAAGGGUUCCUGUCCAACGUUAAUCGGGGCAGGGUGAGUCGACCCCUAAGGCGAGGCCGAAAGGCGUAGUCGAUGGGAAACGGGUUAAUAUUCCCGUACUUGGUGUUACUGCGAAGGGGGGACGGAGAAGGCUAUGUUGGCCGGGCGACGGUUGUCCCGGUUUAAGCGUGUAGGUGUGUGUUCCAGGUAAAUCCGGUUCACUUUAACACUGAGGCGUGACGACGAGGCACUACGGUGCUGAAGCAACAAAUGCCCUGCUUCCAGGAAAAGCCUCUAAGCAUCAGGUAACAUCAAAUCGUACCCCAAACCGACACAGGUGGUCAGGUAGAGAAUACCAAGGCGCUUGAGAGAACUCGGGUGAAGGAACUAGGCAAAAUGGUGCCGUAACUUCGGGAGAAGGCACGCUGACACGUAGGUGAAGUGAUUUACUCAUGGAGCUGAAGUCAGUCGAAGAUACCAGCUGGCUGCAACUGUUUAUUAAAAACACAGCACUGUGCAAACACGAAAGUGGACGUAUACGGUGUGACGCCUGCCCGGUGCCGGAAGGUUAAUUGAUGGGGUCAGCGCAAGCGAAGCUCCUGAUCGAAGCCCCGGUAAACGGCGGCCGUAACUAUAACGGUCCUAAGGUAGCGAAAUUCCUUGUCGGGUAAGUUCCGACCUGCACGAAUGGCGUAAUGAUGGCCAGGCUGUCUCCACCCGAGACUCAGUGAAAUUGAACUCGCUGUGAAGAUGCAGUGUACCCGCGGCAAGACGGAAAGACCCCGUGAACCUUUACUAUAGCUUGACACUGAACAUUGAGCCUUGAUGUGUAGGAUAGGUGGGAGGCUUUGAAGCGUGGACGCCAGUCUGCGUGGAGCCGACCUUGAAAUACCACCCUUUAAUGUUUGAUGUUCUAACGUGGACCCGUGAUCCGGGUUGCGGACAGUGUCUGGUGGGUAGUUUGACUGGGGCGGUCUCCUCCUAAAGAGUAACGGAGGAGCACGAAGGUUGGCUAAUCCUGGUCGGACAUCAGGAGGUUAGUGCAAUGGCAUAAGCCAGCUUGACUGCGAGCGUGACGGCGCGAGCAGGUGCGAAAGCAGGUCAUAGUGAUCCGGUGGUUCUGAAUGGAAGGGCCAUCGCUCAACGGAUAAAAGGUACUCCGGGGAUAACAGGCUGAUA
rnacentral:rRNA from 1 species